ensembl:lncRNA
CCGGGGCCGGGGCUGCACGGAGCGGUCUCGGCUGGCCGAGCAUCACCAGCCGGGUGGCCAGCCGCCCUGACCCCCACAGCACCCGCACAAGGGCCCGCGCUUGCCUGGCGGGACGGGGAGAUUUAAGAGAAGCGAAGCAAUUACUGCCAGGAUUAAAUUAACAAUCGAGAUAAAACGGACAGCGUGGGAACAGGCGACUGAAAGAUGAAUCGCCGAUACAUUGCAUAGUGUUUAGAGUCACAGCAAUAAUUUAUUACUAAGUGUAGGCAGCAGCACAGCCCCGAUGUGGAUACUCCUGCUGCAAGUUGUAUUACAUCCCACAGGCAGGCGAGUACCAGCCCGUGCGACCUUACAGCCCUUACAGUCAACUUUUUAACCUCUGUAUUAUCUUAUUACUGCCUCCCUCUUAUUUAUGCUUGAUUGAAAGGAAAUAACAGAUAAACCAGCAGUUUAAGUUAUCUUAUUAGAAGUUUAUGAUGACAAUUUAGUCCAUUAUGACACGUUAUGAUGGGGAAAAUGCAAAUUUAAAAUGGUAAUGUUCAAGGGAUGACUCCAUUAGCAAUUUAGUGUGCAUGAAGAGUGCACUUUAAAACAGAGGUGUAGCAACCUCAGUGCACUGACUGCAAGCAGUAAGCCAAAAAAUGCAUCCUGGGAGUGCACCUAAUGCACCGUGGGGUCGGCAGGCAUCCCCUGCACAAGGCAAAGAGAAGACCAGGGCAAAUAGAAGUACUGCCUCUCCUAGAAAACAGCUGAAUAUCUACUGCAGUUACACUGACAAGAAAAAAACCAGAAAACUCAAAGUGAAAAGAAAAACACACCCUCAGGAAGUAAUAAAGAGAGGGAUGAAAAGGCAAAGAAGACAUAAAAACAAAUAGGAAAGGAACAAAAGGAAGGUGUAACUGAAUUAAAAGUGCCAUAAAGUGAAACAGUUGGCAAUGAGAAAGAGGCCUCUUGGACACCUUUGCUUCACACUGACAAACUGAGAAACUGAAAAGUGUAGUUUCCUUUGAGACACCAAAAUAAUUAACUCUUUACUGAGUAUCUGAGAAGAAAGGAUUUGUGCUACAGCACUCCAAUGUCAGUGUGCAGCAGAAAGGGGAAAGAUUUUUACCAACUUCCUUGAAAACAUACAGCAAACCUUCAAAAAUGAAUGCCCUUCUUAGCCACGAUGAAUCAGCAGCAAGAGGAAAUAUGCAGACCUAGAGUGAGCUCUAAGGAAGGCAUCACAGUUUCUCUCUUUCUUCCCACAAGCUCCAGUUAAUCUCUUCUAACUGGAUCAUUUCAGCUACCAUUCUCCAUCUCCUAAUUAUAUCAGACCUGAUUAUAACAAUACUUGAAUGAAAAUGCUCAAAAUAUCAGGGUCCCAGUGACAUUACUGAAGAGGAGAUGUAGUGUUGCCUGACAAGACACUGUUGAGACUGCUGGGUAAUUAACUAAAUCUUCUAUCAUUGCUAAGGUAAACACAUGAAACCACAAAAAUGUUUGAGCCUCCUAGCAAAGCUUUUGCCGUGCUUUCACCUUCCUGACCUCUAAGUGUUGAGCGCUCCUCUGCAAUUUCUUCUCUUGCUACGUGUUGCCAGUGGAGGAGAAUCCCCCCUCCCACCCCCCAGCCACCCUAAACACAUUCAAAUAAACCAUCCAGUGGAAAAACA